CAGCGCCAAAGGCAAACCCGGUGAAAGCCGGGGGCACAAAGCCACGGGUCCUCGCCUCCUCCGCGACGCCGGCGUAGUUGACGCCACGAAGGACCCACGACCGCCGAGCUACCGCA
rnacentral:ncRNA from 1 species